CCUACGGGAGGCAGCAGUGAGGAAUAUUGGUCAAUGGACGGAAGUCUGAACCAGCCAUGCCGCGUGCAGGAAGACGGCUCUAUGAGUUGUAAACUGCUUUUGUACAAGGGUAAAUCUGAAUACGUGUAUUCUGCUGAAAGUACUGUACGAAUAAGGAUCGGCUAACUCCGUGCCAGCAGCCGCGGUAAUACGGAGGAUCCAAGCGUUAUCCGGAUUUAUUGGGUUUAAAGGGUGCGUAGGCGGAUUGAUAAGUUAGAGGUGAAAUGUCCGGGCUUAACUCGGGAACUGCCUCUUAUACUUUUGAUCUAGAGGGUAGGUGCGGUAGGCGGAAUGUAUGGUGUAGCGGUGAAAUGCUUAGAGAUCAUACAGAACACCGAUUGCGAAGGCAGCUUACCAAUCUAUAUCUGACGUUGAGGCACGAAAGCGUGGGGAGCAAACAGGAUUAGAUACCCGAGUAGUC
rnacentral:rRNA from 1 species